AAACCACAGAUUUCACUCAUGACGUCAUCCUCAGCCUCCUGUGCAGGGGCCUGCAGGGAGUUUGCAGAGACACCUGGUGGCUGGCUCCAGGGUGGCUCCAGGAGGCACUGAAAAGAGCAAAUGUAGCCAAUGGCCUAGCGCCUCACCUGGCUCAUUCAUGGAUCAGCAACCCGGAUGUUCAACUUCUGUGAACAGAAGAGGGUCCCCACGAGCUUCCUCCCUGAGUCUACAGGCUUGUCCUUCACCUAACUCAUGUGUUGUCAAUCAAACAGC